UUUUCCCGUAGGUGAACUUGCGGAGGGAUCAUUACACAAAUAUGAAGGCGGGCUGGAACCUCUCGGGGUUACAGCCUUGCUGAAUUAUUCACCCUUGUCUUUUGCGUACUUCUUGUUUCCUUGGUGGGUUCGCCCACCACUAGGACAAACAUAAACCUUUUGUAAUUGCAAUCAGCGUCAGUAACAAAUUAAUAAUUACAACUUUCAACAACGGAUCUCUUGGUUCUGGCAUCGAUGAAGAACGCAGCGAAAUGCGAUAAGUAGUGUGAAUUGCAGAAUUCAGUGAAUCAUCGAAUCUUUGAACGCACAUUGCGCCCUUUGGUAUUCCAAAGGGCAUGCCUGUUCGAGCGUCAUUUGUACCCUCAAGCUUUGCUUGGUGUUGGGCGUCUUGUCUCUAGCUUUGCUGGAGACUCGCCUUAAAGUAAUUGGCAGCCGGCCUACUGGUUUCGGAGCGCAACACAAGUCGCACUCUCUAUCAGCAAAGGUCUAGCAUCCAUUAAGCCUUUUUUUCAACUUUUGACCUCGGAUCAGGUAGGGAUACCCGCUGAACUUAANCAUAUCUUAAGUGGAGGAACU
rnacentral:rRNA from 1 species